AGAGUUUGAUCCUGGCUCAGGAUGACCUUUGGCGGCGUGCCUAACACAUGCAAGUCGAACGGAGCGCGGGAAACGGAGAUUCGUCGAAGGGAACCGUUGCUUAGUGGCGGACGGGUGAGUAAUGCAUGAGCAACCUGCCUUUCAGAGGGGGACAACAGCUGGAAACGGCUGCUAAUACCGCAUAAUGUCAUUGGUAGGCAUCUACUGAUGACCAAAGGAGCAAUCCGCUGAAAGAUGGGCUCAUGUCUGAUUAGUUAGUUGGCAGGGUAACGGCCUACCAAGACUGCGAUCAGUAGCCGGACUGAGAGGUUGAACGGCCACAUUGGGACUGAGAUACGGCCCAGACUCCUACGGGAGGCAGCAGUGGGGAAUAUUGGGCAAUGGGCGAAAGCCUGACCCAGCAACGCCGCGUGAAGGAAGAAGGUCUUCGGAUUGUAAACUUCUUUUAUGAGGGACGAAGGAAGUGACGGUACCUCAUGAAUAAGCCACGGCUAACUACGUGCCAGCAGCCGCGGUAAUACGUAGGUGGCAAGCGUUAUCCGGAUUUACUGGGUGUAAAGGGCGCGUAGGCGGGAAAGCAAGUCAGAUGUGAAAUCUUUGGGCUCAACCCAGAAACUGCAUUUGAAACUGUUUUUCUUGAGUGCUGGAGAGGUAGAUGGAAUUCCUUGUGUAGCGGUGAAAUGCGUAGAUAUAAGGAAGAACACCAGUGGCGAAGGCGAUCUACUGGACAGUAACUGACGCUGAGGCGCGAAAGCGUGGGGAGCAAACAGGAUUAGAUACCCUGGUAGUCCACGCUGUAAACGAUG
rnacentral:rRNA from 1 species